rnacentral:rRNA from 1 species
GACGAACGCUGGCGGCGUGCUUAACACAUGCAAGUCGAACGGAAAGGCCCUGCUUUUGUGGGGUGCUCGAGUGGCGAACGGGUGAGUAACACGUGAGUAACCUGCCCUUGACUUUGGGAUAACUUCAGGAAACUGGGGCUAAUACCGGAUAGGAGCUCCUGCUGCAUGGUGGGGGUUGGAAAGUUUCGGCGGUUGGGGAUGGACUCGCGGCUUAUCAGCUUGUUGGUGGGGUAGUGGCUUACCAAGGCUUUGACGGGUAGCCGGCCUGAGAGGGUGACCGGCGACCUUGGGACUGAGAUACGGCCCAGACUCCUACGGGAGGCAACAGUGGGGAAUAUUGCCCAAUGGGCGGAAGCCUGAUGCAGCAACGCCGCGUGCGGGAUGACGGCCUUCGGGUUGUAAACCGCUUUCGCCUGUGACGAAGCGUGAGUGACGGUAAUGGGUAAAGAAGCACCGGCUAACUACGUG